AAAAUGGCUGCAGUAAUAACAUCACAAAUGUGAUGAGAUGCUUUGUCUUUGUUCAAAAAAAAGUUUUCAGCAAAUGUCUUGUCUUGAAUAAAGUAGAGAACAUUAAGACAGCACUGGUGUCAUAGAUACUGUCAUCUAUUCCAUUAGAGCUAUCAAAGUGGCUUUGAGUUUUGUAUACCCAAGUUAAGAAUAAUGAAAUUUUUGGGUACUGUGCUCCAAUUUGCCUGUAUGUAUGAAACUGUUGUCCUUUUCAGGUAUACUGUCUUUGUUCUACAUGCAAAUACUGGAAAACUGAAGGCAUAUGAAAUCUGCAACACCUCUCCUGCAUUAAUGAGAGUGCAGCACAGGACAAUAAUGAAUUUACAUGUUUGACAGCAGAAGUUGGCUUUCUACUGUAGUGAGAGAAAAUAUUUCUGGUCCUCUCAGAGGUGGCAGUGAAGCGCAACUUUAG
rnacentral:lncRNA from 1 species